GAGCUUGGCGUAAAGGUAAAUAAAAACAUGUUGUGACGUAAUGCGGAAGUGAUAUCGGUUGCUUGAAAAAUGGAUUUUUGUCAAAUAACAGUGAACAAGUUAUUGUGAGAUAGUCUGAUUACUUUGGAGCUGCCAGAUUGUGUAUGAAAUCCUGAAAAAAGUAUUUCAGCAACUUUUUCAUGAACCACAGAAACUUCACCUUACCAAAUUGUAGGACCAGACAUUGUGAGGAAGUUUGAUUGCAUUCACUGCCAGAGCUAAAGCUAGAAAAGAAACUAAACAACUUCUUCUCAUGAUCUGCUUAAUUGAUCUUCACAUUGAAUUGUCAACCUGUAUGCUACAUUGUAUAAUGACGUUGAGCAAAUAAAGAUACUGCAGUCAGAGUUACAACCUUCAUUAAACAGAAUGAAUUGGUGUUACAGAAAUGGAUAACAUAUGGAGACAAACACUUUCAGGCUACAGAAACUACACAUUGUUUGAGACUAUGAGAAUGGCUUAUUUUCAUGAUGGAACUCAUACCACAAAGAAAGAACUUGCUUUAUCUUAUUUCUUAUAACUAGUCAUCAAGACAUACCCAAGUAAACUACAACAGGAAUGAAAGCAAACAAAGUUGAUUCAGGAUUUAGAGUCAACAGUGUGUGAAAACUGCGGAAAAUAGGAUUUUAAUUUCAAGGAUUUGAUUUAGUAUGUCAAGGAGUGAUUUGUUUUUAAUUCAUCACACAAGUUAUUGACAGUGCUCUAAAAUAUAAAUAGGAUGUGUAAAUACAGACUUUCAUACCUAACUAAAAUAAUGUUGAAUUCAACAGAAUAAACAAACUACCAUCUGUUGUAUAAUAUAUUAGUUGAUUUAUCAAACUUUGUCAGUUUUGUUACAUUACUUAUCAUUGAUAGAAUCUAUUAUCUAAUACCCCUUUACAGUGUGUCAAGUACUUGUCAUCAUAAACUAUUUUGAAAUAAUUACAGGACUGAUAUUUUACUGGUAUUAGUUAAAUGUGUUGUUGUUAGACCCCUUACAUUUGAAAGUGAGUUUUCUUUAUACAUACAGGAUUCUGCUAUUCCGUCUGUCUGCUAGUCCUGUCUGUCAAAUCUUUGUCCAGAAAUUACAUUUGAAAUAAAAUAUAGCAUCAUU
rnacentral:lncRNA from 1 species